GAUGAAGAACGUAGCGAAAUGCGAUAAGUAGUGUGAAUUGCAGAAUUCAGUGAAUCAUCGAAUCUUUGAACGCACAUUGCGCCCUUUGGUAUUCCUUAGGGCAUGCCUGUUCGAGCGUCAUUUAAACCUUCAAGCUAAGCUUGGUGUUGGGUGACUGUCCGCUUCGCGGCGGACUCGCCUCAAAAUUAUUGGCGGCCGGUACAUUGGCUUCGAGCGCAGCAGAAACGCGAACUCGGGCCCGUCGUAUUGGCUCCCAGAAGCUAUCUUCACAAUUUUGACCUCGGAUCAGGUAGGGAUACCCGCUGAACUUAAGCAUAUCAAUAAGCGGAGGA
rnacentral:misc_RNA from 1 species